rnacentral:rRNA from 1 species
AGCAGCCGCGGUAAUUCCAGCUCCAAUAGCGUAUAUUAAAGUUGUUGCAGUUAAAAAGCUCGUAGUUGAAUUUCGGGGUUAGUAGGUUGGUCAUGCCUCUGGUAUGUACUGGUCUCACUGAUUCCUCCUUCCUGAUGAACCUUAAUGCCAUUAAUUUGGUGUUUUGGGGAAUUUGGACUGUUACUUUGAAAAAAUUAGAGUGUUUAAAGCAAGCUAACGCUUGAAUACAUUAGCAUGGAAUAAUGAAAUAGGACGUUCGAUCCUAUUUUGUUGGUUUCUAGGAUUGACGUAAUGAUUAAUAGGGAUAGUUGGGGGCAUUAGUAUUCAAUUGUCAGAGGUGAAAUUCUUGGAUUUAUUGGAGACUAACUACUGCGAAAGCAUUUGCCAAGGAUGUUUUCAUUAAUCAAGAACGAAAGUUAGGGGAUCGAAGACGAUCAGAUACCGUCGUAGUCUUAACCAUAAACUAUGCCGACUAGGGAUCGGAUGAUGUUAAUUUUUUAAUGACUCA